rnacentral:tRNA from 1 species
GGUCCGAGUAGUUCAGUUGGUUAGAAUGCCUGCCUGUCACGCAGGAGGUCGCGGGUUCGAGUCCCGUCCGGACCGCCA